ensembl:lncRNA
CUCUCGCCUACAUUUCAGGCGAGGCAAGGCGCAUCUCAAACAAGCCUAAUGUUUGCCACAAAUCUCAAAUUAGACCACGCCCUCCUGAUCAUCAAUUCGGUCUUAAGAUCGACCUUAAAAUCUUCAAGUGUGUUGCCAGCCUAAAUUUAAGUUUGAAUCGAUCGAAGCUAGUCCAGCGUAAAUGACUCACUCACUCACUCACUCACUCACUCACUCAACUGAAUCAUUUCCUCGCGCAUUCAGCCAUGUGCUCAGCUCCAGUUUGAAGAUGAAGCUGCUUUUACAUCGAAAAUACCCAACACUUAUUCAGACUGACCAAGACUUGCCCAACUGCAACAAGACCAAAAACAUUUCUUACCUAGCACGAAAGAAAGAAAGAAAGGAAGGAAGGAAAAAACGCUGAGUCCAUCUCUUAAUAACAUCCAGAAUCUUCACACCGCACCGCUUCUGGAAGACCUCUCGUCCAAACGGGCCUGGGACAGGCAGCCUGUGUUAGGGCUUAAUGUGGAGGAAUCAACGGGAAAACUCCACUCUGAUGAUGCAACACUGUCAUCUACUGAGCGUGAGAAACUACUGCAACCACAAACCUUACAGGGCAGCAAUAUUCAGUGUAUUUCACUAAAGCAGUUAACUACAGGCUAUGCUUUACGAUGCCACGCGCUCUAAAGAAGUAGACCACACUUUCACUACUCACACCAAAAUGAUUUUAGAAAAAUUUCGUCAGCUUAACAAUCGGUAUGUUGUCGUUAAACAAGUGCAUCACUGAACGCGCUCUACUUUUCUUCCCCACAGCGUCUAUUCAUUUCUGACAGAAAUUAAAUAUGGCGCUACCAUGAUUAAGGGCUUUAAAGUCCUUUAUGGGAUGAUAUUUAGCUGAUUUCAAUGUAUAAACAAAAUAGAAUAAACAACAAAUUGGCCUCUAUUGUUAAAACAGAUUUCAAAUACAAAACAUAAUUUCAUUGUAAUGUCAUUAUAGUAUAAUGGCAGAUCUUUU